CAAUAGCGUAUAUUAAAGUUGUUGCGCUUAAAAAGCUCGUAGUUGGAUUUCUGCUGAGGACGAUCGGUCCGCCCUCUGGGUGAGUAUCUGGCUCGGCCUUGGCAUCUUCUUGGAGAACGUUACUGCACUUGACUGUGUGGUGCGGUACCCAGGACUUUUACUUUGAGGAAAUUAGAGUGUUUCAGGCAGGCUUUCGCCGGAAUACAUUAGCAUGGAAUAAUGGAAAAGGACUUCAACCUCUUCUGUUGGUCUGAGAGGCUGUAGUAAUGAUUAAUAGGGAUAGUUGGGGGGCAUUAGUACUUAACUGUCAGAGGUGAAAUUCUCCGAUUUGUUAAAGACUAACUUAUGCGAAAGCAUUUGCCAAGGAUGUUUUUCAUUAAUCAAGAACGAAAGUUAGGGGAUCAAAGACGAUUAGAUACCG
rnacentral:rRNA from 1 species